rnacentral:rRNA from 1 species
CUGAAUCAGCAUGUGUGUUAGUGGAAGCGUCUGGAAAGGCGCGCGAUACAGGGUGACAGCCCCGUACACAAAAGCGCACAUGUUGUGAGCUCGAUGAGUAGGGCGGGACACGUGGUAUCCUGUCUGAAUAUGGGGGGACCAUCCUCCAAGGCUAAAUACUCCUGACUGACCGAUAGUGAACCAGUACCGUGAGGGAAAGGCGAAAAGAACCCCGGCGAGGGGAGUGAAACAGAACCUGAAACCGUGUACGUACAAGCAGUGGGAGCACAGGUUUACCUGUGUGACUGCGUACCUUUUGUAUAAUGGGUCAGCGACUUAUAUUCUGUAGCAAGGUUAACCGCAUAGGGGAGCCGAAGGGAAACCGAGUCUUAAUUGGGCGUUAAGUUGCAGGGUAUAGACCCGAAACCCGGUGAUCUAGCCAUGGGCAGGUUGAAGGUUGGGUAACACUAACUGGAGGACCGAACCGACUAAUGUUGAAAAAUUAGCGGAUGACCUGUGGCUGGGGGUGAAAGGCCAAUCAAACCGGGAGAUAGCUGGUUCUCCCCGAAAGCUAUUUAGGUAGCGCCUCGUGAACUCAUCUCCGGGGGUAGAGCACUGUUUCGGCUAGGGGGCCAUCCCGGCUUACCAACCCGAUGCAAACUGCGAAUACCGGAGAAUGUUAUCACGGGAGACACACGGCGGGUGCUAACGUCCGUCGUGAAGAGGGAAACAACCCAGACCGCCAGCUAAGGUCCCAAAGUCAUGGUUAAGUGGGAAACGAUGUGGGAAGGCCCAGACAGCCAGGAUGUUGGCUUAGAAGCAGCCAUCAUUUAAAGAAAGCGUAAUAGCUCACUGGUCGAGUCGGCCUGCGCGGAAGAUGUAACGGGGCUAAACCAUGCACCGAAGCUGCGGCAGCGAACGUAUCACUUAAAACGAUUCAGAAGCUUACGAUUGACGGAGCGAAGCGACGUCAAAGCGUAUACAAAGUCGAGUCGGUUUAAGGAUACGUUCGUUGGGUAGGGGAGCGUUCUGUAAGCCUGCGAAGGUGGCCUGUGAGGGUUGCUGGAGGUAUCAGAAGUGCGAAUGCUGACAUAAGUAACGAUAAAGCGGGUGAAAAGCCCGCUCGCCGGAAGACCAAGGGUUCCUGUCCAACGUUAAUCGGGGCAGGGUGAGUCGACCCCUAAGGCGAGGCCGAAAGGCGUAGUCGAUGGGAAACGGGUUAAUAUUCCCGUACUUGGUGUUACUGCGAAGGGGGGACGGAGAAGGCUAUGUUGGCCGGGCGACGGUUGUCCCGGUUUAAGCGUGUAGGCUGACUUUCCAGGCAAAUCCGGAGAGUCAAGGCUGAGGCGUGACGACGAGGCAC